rnacentral:rRNA from 1 species
GUAGUUGACUCCUGGCUCGAGGACGAACGCUGGCGGCGCGCUUAACACAUGCAAGUCGAACGGGGUACCCGCGAAGGAGACUUCGGUCAAAUUUGCGGACUACCUAGUGGCGGACGGGUGCGUAACACGUCGAGUAACCUGCCUUGGGGUGGGGGAUAACAUACCGAAAGGCAUGCUAAUACCGCAUAACAUACAUUUCCCGCAUGAGAGAUGUAUCAAAGAUUUAUUGCCCCAAGAUGGACUCGCGGCCGAUUAGCUGGUUGGUGAGGUAACGGCCCACCAAGGCGACGAUCGGUAGCCGGACUGAGAGGUUGACCGGCCACAUUGGGACUGAGACACGGCCCAGACUCCUACGGGAGGCAGCAGUGGGGAAUAUUGCGCAAUGGGGGAAACCCUGACGCAGCGACGCCGCGUGAAGGAAGAAGGUUUUCGGAUCGUAAACUUUUGUCUUUGGGGACGAGAACGGACGGUACCCAAGGAGGAAGCCACGGCUAACUACGUGCC